CACGGGGGAGCAGCGUUGUUCGGAAUCACUGGGCGUAAAGGGCGUGUAGGCGGUCGAGUAAGUGGAAUGUGAAAUACUCCGGCUCACCCGGAGCACUGCAUCCCAAACUGCUCGGCUUGAGUAUGGGAGAGGACGGAGGGAAUUCCUGGUGUAGCGGUGAAAUGCGUAGAUAUCUGGAGGAGCACCUGUGGCGAAAGCGGCUC
rnacentral:rRNA from 1 species